UGGGAGUCACUGGGUACAUGCUCCCCACGUAGGAUCUCUGUCCUUAAUGUGUUUAACUAUGAAACUUAAAAACAACACUACAAGUCAAACAAUACCCUAUACCUGGUUCGGUUGUGUGAAUGCAGCCUGUUGAAAUCCUUGCUUAGUAUAUACUAAGUUGAUCUUCAGUAGAUUAAGGCCUUUCAUUGGUAUCAUGAUUCGGACCCAGGUUCUGUUGACCCUACUCUCUCUUCAGGGAUGUGAGCUGCUUCGGGAUCAUGGAUUUCAGUCAACGACCCUUGGACCUCCUUCCUUUCCACCGAAUACGCCAUGAUCUCUCCAUACACCAGGCCCUUCAAAAUAUUGAGUGUUUUGGUGUGUUCUGUGGCAGCCUUUCAGUUCUACUCCUGAGAAGUUAAAUACGCAGUCCACAAUAUAACCUUAAAAGAUGCUCACCAUCCACCACAUCUCAACACAGUCUGAGGCUCUCACCAGUUAUGACCAUCCACACUUGGAAAUUUCUGCCUUCCAAAGUGUGAGCCAAAAUAAAUUCUUCUCUAUAAACUUCCUAGCCUUGGGUAUUUUUGUUAAAGCAACAAAAAAUGGACAAAGACAUUUAUCUAAGAAGUAAAUUUGGUAAGCAAAGCCUCCUGCUUUUGUGUCAAAAUAUUCACAAGUGCCCAAGAUGGGAUGAGGGAAGCAAGACUGAGACAUGACUUGGGAGGGGUGGGGAAUUGCUUGGAGAUUGUAUCUGUCAGCAAGCUUGGUAGAAGUCCAAGAGAGAUAGUGUUACCUCCUUCCCACAAAGUAGCUCAAGAGCCUUUAGGCAGCAGUUUGUCUAGAGUGACUUCAAUCCACACUGGCCUGGCAACAGCAGGAAAAUAGAAUGUGAGUAGGGAGGCUAACGCUAGGCAGGAAGUGGGCUUCCCCUGCAGCUCCAGGCAGUCACCAAGCCAGAUAAACUUAAGAACAGUCUGGGGACUGGUGCUACACUCAGCCCCAGAAUUUCAAAUAAGAUUUGAAUUCACAUUAAAAUUCAGACCAUGUCUCAUACAAAGCUAGGGCUUAUUUUUUGUUUUUUUCAUUAUAUUUUUCCCAUUUCCCCAGGAGGCUGUUAAUGUCUGGAGAAGAGAAGCAAGGCUGCCAUGG